UCGAGAAUCAUUCACAAUGGGGGAAACCCUGAUGGUGCGACGCCGCGUGGGGGAAUGAAGGUCUUCGGAUUGUAAACCCCUGUCAUGUGGGAGCAAAUUAAAAAGAUAGUACCACAAGAGGAAGAGACGGCUAACUCUGUGCCAGCAGCCGCGGUAAUACAGAGGUCUCAAGCGUUGUUCGGAAUCACUGGGCGUAAAGCGUGCGUAGGCGGUUUCGUAAGUCGUGUGUGAAAGGCGGGGGCUCAACCCCCGGACUGCACAUGAUACUGCGAGACUAGAGUAAUGGAGGGGGAACCGGAAUGCUCGGUGUAGCAGUGAAAUGCGUAGAUAUCGAGAGGAACACUCGUGGCGAAGGCGGGUUCCUGGACAUUAACUGACGCUGAGGCACGAAGGCCAGGGGAGCGAAAGGG
rnacentral:rRNA from 1 species